rfam:Gossypium arboreum cultivar AKA8401 contig_66027_1, whole genome shotgun sequence.
UGUUAAAAAUUUCAUCCAUUUAUACUAUUAAAAAUUAAUGUAACUGACGAAAUAACUAAACAUUAAUACAUGGUGUGUGAUGCGUACCUUAUGCUAACGUACUAAGAUCAAUUGUUCACAAUAAAAAUUGAUGAAAUUUUUAACA